rnacentral:lncRNA from 1 species
UCUCAUGUUCAUGCCUCAUAACAUGCAAUAUGAAAUUUUAUGCAACUAUGCAACCAACUAGUAGAUCAAUUGAUACUACAUUCAAUUCUGCUAUACAUAACUCAUGUCAUCUAGUUUCCAAUGUUUCUACUACCUUAAAUUUAUAACUCAAAUCCAACUAACUUUUAAGGUUUCUACCACCUUAACCAAGCUAUCCACUCGACUCGGCUUCGAGUCAAUCAUCCCCGGAAUAUCGCGCACAAUCAGACUCGAGGUGAAAGACGUCUCACAUGCACCUCAGCUUUCAAUCCACAAACCACAUCGU